CUUAAAUGAAUAUUCUUUUGAAUUUUUUGGAAUUAGAAACUAUCAUCUUCGAGAGAUAUGAAAUUAGAAACUCGAUCUUAAAAAUGACUGAAAAAUUAAGUUAUAUGAGAGUGAUUCCAAUUCUUGAGUUAAUAUAUUAAAAAACUGACAACAAAAUGGUCUUCAAAUGGUCCAAAAAGUAACCAAACUCAGACAAAUGUGGGUGAAUAUUAAUAGAUAGACUCACAUUUACCUAAUCACAUAACAAUAAUGUCAUACGAAUCAAACUCAAGAUGUCUAAUUCUUAUAUAUAGGACUCAAACUCACCUAAACCAUUGUCGAACGCCUUAACAAAGACAACGAAAUGUUAUGACUUAAUGUUUUUUGGUGCCUUUAUUACAACAGGCUUUGAAGACACGAGCAACCCCCUGUUGCAAAGUGAUAUCUCAAAUUCAAGGUGGAAAUGGAGUAUUGUGCGAGAGAGGUGGAGAAACAUGUGAGAACAGAAACAGGACGACAAUUGUUUUCUUUGAUGGGUUGCAUCCAACGGAAGCGUUGAAUGUUCAAAUAGCAACCAAGGCUUAUGCUUCCACUCUUGAAUUUCAUGUUUAUCCCAUUAAUGUCAAACAAUUUGCCCAACUUUGAUUAUAUAUCCUCAUAUUAUAUCUUAAAUAA